UACAGAGGUGGCAAGCGUUGUUCGGAAUUACUGGGCGUAAAGGGCGCGUAGGCGGUUCGUCAAGUCCUGUGUGAAAUCCCCCGGCUCAACUGGGGAACUGCACAGGAAACUAGCGGGCUUGAGUUCGGGAGAGGGAAGCGGAAUUCCGGGUGUAGCGGUGAAAUGCGUAGAUAUCCGGAGGAACACCGGUGGCGAAGGCGGCUUCCUGGACCGACACUGACGCUGAGGCGCGAAAGCUAGGGGAGCAAACAGG
rnacentral:rRNA from 1 species